AGUGAACGCUGGCGGUAGGCCUAACACAUGCAAGUCGAACGGCAGCACAGGAGAGCUUGCUCUCUGGGUGGCGAGUGGCGGACGGGUGAGGAAUACAUCGGAAUCUACUUUUUCGUGGGGGAUAACGUAGGGAAACUUACGCUAAUACCGCAUACGACCUACGGGUGAAAGCAGGGGAUCUUCGGACCUUGCGCGAUUGAAUGAGCCGAUGUCGGAUUAGCUAGUUGGGGGGGUAAAGGCCCACCAAGGCGACGAUCCGUAGCUGGUCUGAGAGGAUGAUCAGCAACACUGGAACGGAGACACGGUCCAGACUCCUACGGGAGGAAGCAGUGGGGAAUAUUGGACAAUGGGCGCAAGCCUGAUCCAGCCAUACCGCGUGGGUGAAGAAGGCCUUCGGGUUGUAAAGCCCUUUUGUUGGGAAAGAAAUCCAGCUGGUUAAUACCCGGUUGGGAUGACGGUACCCAAAGAAUAAGCACCGGCUAACUUCGUGCCAGCAGCCGCCGUAA
rnacentral:rRNA from 1 species